rnacentral:rRNA from 1 species
UACGUAGGGGGCCAGCGUUGUCCGAAGUUACUGGGCGUAAAGAGCGCGUAGGCGGGUCUUUAAGUGGGGGGUGAAAUUCUGAGGCUCAACCUCGGAACUGCCCCCCAUACUGGGGACCUUGAGUGCGGGAGAGGCGAGUGGAAUGGUCGGUGUAGCGGUGAAAUGCGUAGAUAUCGAUCGGAACACCCAUGGCGAAGGCAGCUCGCUGGCCUGCAACUGACGCUGAGGCGCGAAAGCCGGGGGAGCAAACAGG